CCUACGGGGGGCAGCAGUGGGGAAUAUUGCACAAUGGGCGCAAGCCUGAUGCAGCCAUGCCGCGUGUGUGAAGAAGGCCUUCGGGUUGUAAAGCACUUUCAGCGGGGAGGAAGGCGUUAAGGUUAAUAACCUUGGCGAUUGACGUUACACGCAGAAGAAGCACCGGCUAACUCCGUGCCAGCAGCCGCGGUAAUACGGAGGGUGCAAGCGUUAAUCGGAAUUACUGGGCGUAAAGCGCACGCAGGCGGUCUGUCAAGUCGGAUGUGGAAUCCCCGGGCUCAACCUGGGAACUGCAUUCGAAACUGGCAGGCUAGAGUCUUGUAGAGGGGGGUAGAAUUCCAGGUGUAGCGGUGAAAUGCGUAGAGAUCUGGAGGAAUACCGGUGGCGAAGGCGGCCCCCUGGACAAAGACUGACGCUCAGGUGCGAAAGCGUGGGGAGCAAACAGGAUUAGAUACCCGUGUAGUC
rnacentral:rRNA from 1 species